UACGUAGGGGGCAAGCGUUAUCCGGAAUCAUUGGGCGUAAAGGGUGCGUAGGCGGCCCUAUAGGUCAGAGGUCAAAGGCUACGGCUCAACCGUAGUAAGCCUUUGAAACUGUAGGGCUUGAGUGCAGGAGAGGAGAGUGGAAUUCCUAGUGUAGCGGUGAAAUGCGUAGAUAUUAGGAGGAACACCAGUGGCGAAGGCGACUCUCUGGACUGCAACUGACGCUGAGGCACGAAAGCGUGGGGAGCGAAUAGGAUUAGAUACCCUGGUAGUCCACGCCGUAAACGAUGAGUGCUAGGUGUCGGGGGUCGAACCUCGGUGCCGCAGUUAACGCAUUAAGCACUCCGCCUGGGGAGUACGUUCGCAAGAAUGAA
rnacentral:rRNA from 1 species